rnacentral:lncRNA from 1 species
UUCCUCCUCUGUGAUUGGGCGUACUAAUCUUGCUGUAUUAUUUGUUAACGUCUGUGUGCAGUCCAAAUGAGCGCCAGUUGCUAAAAAAGGAAUACACUUAACAGAACUGCAGUAGCAAAGUGUUCAGCCAUAAAACAUAGCUAGCAGAGCAAGCUAGCGGGUCUAUAUUAACAGAAGUACAUGAGUCGUCCAGCGGUUGAAAUCAAAAAUGAACAUCUUCCAAAAGGUGGGUGAUCUCCAAAAGAGAGGCAGAGUCUGUCGGAACGCAGGCAUAUCAAGUCUUACAGAGAGACUAAACACGACACAUGGAUCAUAUGUAUAGUCGGCAGCUGCGGCCGACGGUGGUGCGUCUAGAGACAAUGCACAGUGAGAGAGGCGGCUUGCACUUGAAAUGAAGGCGCAUGUGUCACCUAACAAAGUACCUGUGAGGGUAAGCUUACAUCAACAUUUAUGAAGCAACAAAACUUUGAAGUGUAUUUUUCACUUCUGAUUUAGAAAAAAAAAAACUAAUCCCAUGAUGCUUUGUUUAUAAUAUUUGCAAGAGAUCGAAGCUUGGAACUGGAUCAUAUGAUCCUAACAGGAUAGGUCCAUUCUAUUUCAUCGUUUUCCCAAUAUUUGCUCGCUUACUGACAACAAAAUAUUUAGAUAAGAAACUGUAUGUGCUAGCAAGUGUUGCUUCCUGUCAGUUGAGGUGCAGUUCUAGUUACACAACACAUAAUGAAUUUGAGUUAUUAAUGGCAAAGAACCUACAAAUAACCUACACGAAGUCAAUGGUUAUCCCCAGAUCAAUUACAGAGGCUAAAACUUUCAACCGAGAGCCAUUGUAAUUAAAAUGAACUUGUUUUUCUUUUGUCUACAGAACUUGAAGAAACUGACCACACAAUAGAGGAGAAGGCAUCUGCAAGGAAUGGCUCUAUCUACAAGUGAAUCAAGUAGUGAGCUACACGCAGAAAUAACAGUGUCAUCUAGCAUCAAUUUUUGGGGCUGGAGUGUAUUAACUAUGACAGACCACUUCAGAAAUAAUUCUCCACUCCUAUCUAUAUGACCUACUCAGUUUAAGGAAAAGAGCAUUGAGAUUGGAUCAAUAUUAGUUCUAUGUAAAUAUAAAAAUCUAGCAAAGUCCUUGGUGGUUUGUACAUGUUAUUAAAUGGUACCAUGGCAUGUGGGUUCAAGGUACACAUAAUUUAUAAAUGGUUAUAACAAGAUUCUAACCUUGACUCUAAUUUGUAAAUGUUUGUACAUGGUAGCACAACAGAUUAGGAUCAGGCCUCUUAUUAUUGAAGGUAGGUGUGAGACAGAUCUGAUUUUCUCCUUAUAUUACACCAUUCCUUGCAGUUUGAGGGAAUUGCAUGUCUCCAGUAAAGCAAAUUAAGCAUAUACUACUAAGAAACUAAAGAGUCCAUGGUGGCAUUCAGAAUAAUAAGAAAAAUAUAAUGAAGAACAAAACUUACUAACCCGAAAGCAGCCACAUAUGGUAAAACUGUUCCAUAUCGAAUGCUCAAAAAAUAAAUAAUCAUCUUAUUAGCUAUGGAGUUCAACAAUUGUAAAUAUAGUUCAUUUUAGUAAUGUAAUGCCCAGAAAAAAGAAACACCAGCACUGUCCAAACCCAUCAUUUCAUCUUCUCAUUUUCAAUGUAAAAGCAUGGACUGCACAAACUGUUGUCUAAAUCCAGCACUCAUUGCACAAGAAAAUUAAGAACAUGGAGAGAUAGGAGAAGAUGUAACCAGUGCAUGGUCCAUCUCAACCCUCGAUGAAGAACCAUCAAGCAUACUUGAACAACCAAGAAACAACCGAAGCCGUGUUCGAUGGAAGCUCGAGGUAGGAAUCAUUUAAGAUCUGCACCAUAUGUGAUAUUAAAUGUGUAUAUCCACAAGGAUAUAAGCACCGGCAACAAAAGAGGAAUGAAUUGAGAGUACUUGCUUUCAAGAUUUUCUGUUUUAACACCACUCGUCGAUUGAGCCAUGAAACAUUGACCAAAACUUGCUCAACUGCGCCUACAAGCACAACACGCACAGCACACAACACAACAUAGUAUGCUCUACCUAGUUUAUAGAGUAUAUAACCACAAUUACUAAAACCCAUCCAAAUAGUAUUGUGUCAAGUUGAUCUGAGAAGGUGGUUAAAUAGACUAACAUGUCUGUGUACCAUUUUUUCAUUUCUAAUUUUAGCACAAGUCAAUUCGUCAUGAUACAAUGGAUACACACACACACAUAGUAUGCUCUACCUAGUUUCAGUCAUCCAAAACUGAACCAAAACGUGACGCACACACACAGUUUGCUCUAGUUUCAGCCAUGGCAUCUAAGACAGGAGUUUAACCAAAACGAGAUGUGUACAAACUGAAAUAGAGUAUAACCAAAACGUACAAACUGCACUUGAUGUUCAGAUCUAGGGGUAGAUGGGGGAGAGGAGAAACUCACCACAUUGGUGUUGGGUGGAAGGUAAAGAGGGAUGUUGGCCUGCUCCUCUGGCCACUCUACCUGCAGAGACGAGAGAGGCGGGGUCAGUGAGAGAAGAGAUGGCAGAUGAGAGGAGAUAAGAUCAUUUCAACAAACAGAUCAAAUACACGGCCGCCUGGAUCCAGAUCCGCCCUCUUCCUCUGUCCACCGCCUCAUCCCCACGACAUCUCUCCUUCCUCGAUCUAAAUCCAAAUCCAACACACACACAAAGAGAAAAUGGAUUUCAUUGUGGGCGCGGGAGGAACGUCCAUGAGGCGGAGCCACACGUGGGCGGGACGAGCCACCGCAGGCCGCCAGAGCCUCGCCGGCGACGAAGGGGACGCCGCGCCCGAAACCCUAGCCAUGGCUGAGGGUCGGCAGCGAGCGCGGGAGGCCGGAUCUGGAGGGAUGGGAGGAAGGAGCAGAGCAAGGGGAGGUCGUCAGUCUGCCACCUGCCAUCGGGACUCGCCGGAAUCGGCCGGCGUGAGUGGCGGUGGGGGCGAGGAGUCGCGGGGCAAGAGAGGGCUCGCGAGAGAGAUGGAGUGACAAUUUUGAUCUAGGGACGAAACCAUU